rnacentral:rRNA from 1 species
GACGAACGCUGGCGGCGUGCUUAACACAUGCAAGUCGAACGGAAAGGCCCUGCUUUUGUGGGGUGCUCGAGUGGCGAACGGGUGAGUAACACGUGAGUAACCUGCCCUUGACUUUGGGAUAACUUCAGGAAACUGGGGCUAAUACCGGAUAGGAGCUCCUGCUGCAUGGUGGGGGUUGGAAAGUUUCGGCGGUUGGGGAUGGACUCGCGGCUUAUCAGCUUGUUGGUGGGGUAGUGGCUUACCAAGGCUUUGACGGGUAGCCGGCCUGAGAGGGUGACCGGCCACAUUGGGACUGGGAUACGGCCCAGACUCCUACGGGAGGCAACAGUGGGGAAUAUUGCACAAUGGGCGGAAGCCUGAUGCAGCAACGCCGCGUGCGGGAUGACGGCCUUCGGGUUGUAAACCGCUUUCGCCUGUGACGAAGCGUGAGUGACGGUAAUGGGUGAAGAAGCACCGGCUAACUACGUG